rnacentral:misc_RNA from 1 species
GUGAAUCAUCGAAUCUUUGAACGCAAAUUGCACUCUCUUCGGUGAGUGUGCCUGUUUGAGGGUCAGUAUUAAUAAAAAUCGGUGUGUUGCUUCUUUGGUUCGCUCUGGAGUUUGGGUCAUCUCAAUAUCUUUUAGGUUUUAAGAGGCUUAAAAUUGACUUUUUUUGCUCAUUUUAGAUGUACAUAAUUUCUUUUUAUAUUCGUAUGUCUUAAUUCUCUAACUCCUAUUAUAUGUGACCAUC